rnacentral:rRNA from 1 species
UAAAAGAGAGCACCAAAAAGAAAAAAGUGAUCCCCCAGAAUCGAUAGCUACUCAGGAGAUCGGCGCAGGUCCAUUUUUUAUCUGACAUUGACGGUAAAGUAAUUUCCAUAUUUAUCCCUUGUUUUCCAUAGAAAAUAAGAAUGUAUAGAACUAUUUAAAUUGAUAAUAAAUAUUGAUUAUGUGAAUAACGUUUAUAGCCAAUUUUAACUUAAAACGAAGGGCCAUUUUAUCAAAUAGUUCUAUUCUUUUUCAGCGUAUAAAAGUAGGAUGUGAGGUGAUUAAAUCUAUAGCGCCUUCUGAAUGAUAAUCUGUGAUUUUUUAUGCGUGGCAUUACAUCAUUGGGUUAAAUGUGAUUCCAUUGUGAGUUAUAUUUUUCCGUCAGCAAAUACAGAAUUUGCGUGACGCGUUUGGCGGAAUAGUGGGCGCUUUGCUGGAAUUCAGGCUGUUGCCAUAGCCAGGUAACAAAGCGGCGACUAGCCGCCAGAUUAACGGCGACACCUUGUUCUAAGUGGGAACCGGUUAACGAACAGACCAUUUUGCGGUUGUGACCUUGCCCCCAGAGCUGCCACUGAUUUUGCCACCAUCCCUGCCAUGUUUUGCCUAACAGUUGCCACUCUGCGCGGCAAUCGUCAUCGUUUAUCUCUUCCUCAACGAACCACAGCGAGGAGAGACGCUGGCGAAACCGCUCCGCCCAUGCCGUAAUGACCGCGCCGCGCAAAAAACACUCAUGGGCAAUGAUGUGUGUCGUGACAUCAGGAAAACGGUUUUUCAGCACCCGAAAAUGACCAUGCGCCGUAAUGACCGGGCGAAGUAUUGUUCCUUGCGCGUUCCGUUUAAGCGCCGCCGGGCCAUACUGAAUCUCAUCGAACUGGCUGCGCUGUAAAAAUUGCCGUUCUUUAAUGGCGAUACGGUGAAUAAUAUCGCCCUUCUCGCCCUCGGGCGGCGCAAUUCCUUUCCAGUGGUAAUGCAAACUUUUUCCGGCAGACAGUAACGUGAAAUUGCUGGAAAGGUGAAGAAUAUUGCCGCGAACAGCGUCAAAACUGAAUAAAAAGUACAAUUGCUGGAAGGCAUUCGCUCCCUGAAACGGUACGAGCAGCGGAAUACUGCAAAUCUGUUCCGGCGUUUCGGCGACAUUCAGCGCGUGCUGUUUUGGCGUCCAGACUUUCUUACAGUACUGGCACUGAAGUCGCUGCGUUCCGCCGGGAUUACGUCCAUAACGAAUCCAUGUUUUUUGAUAGCAAUCGGGGCAAAAGUGACCAUGCUCUUUGGCAUAUUGCGCGAUAUAAGCAGACGCCCAGCGGCGAAAUUCCCCCUCGUUGAAGAGCGGCGGAUAACUGCCGCAGGCUCGACAAUGCAAUGCCGGAUAACCCAGGCGAUAGUCCGGCCACACAUAAUCCGGCGAGUCAGGCAGCCCAAGAUUGCGACAACCAGCGCUUUUGCAGGCAUUAAUGGUGAACAGAGGCGGCAUUCAUUUUACCAACGAUUUUGGCAGGUCGUUGAUUCUGCCUUCAUAAAGCGGUACGCGGGUGUGAGGACUCUCAC